rnacentral:rRNA from 1 species
CCCUUAGACGUUCUGGGCCGCACGCGCGCUACACUGACCAGUGCAACAAGCAUCCGUCCUUGGCCGACAGGCUCGGGCAAUCUUUGAACGCUGGUCGUGAUGGGGAUAGACUUUUGCAAUUUUUGGUCUUCAACGAGGAAUGCCUAGUAAACGCAAGUCAUCAACUUGCAUUGAUUACGUCCCUGCCCUUUGUACACACCGCCCGUCGCACCUACCGAUUGAAUGGUCCGGUGAAGCCUCCGGAUUGGCGCGCACCUCGGUGCCGCCGAGAAGUUGGCUAAACCUUACCAUUUAGAGGAAGGUGAAGUCGUAACA